ACUUCCUGCCAAGCCCCCCAGAGUCUCUCUGCUGCCGCCGCAAGCGCCGCUGGCCCGGGGACCACAGAUUGGAAGCAGGCAGUCACUGGUCGUGGACAGGAAGACUCUCUCCGGCCAUCUCAGCUGUGGUCCUCUAACCUGUGCCUGUGAGCCACCAAGAGUGAACGGAAACUAGAAGCAUUGCCACCAACAACUGGAGCAGUGACCACACUGAAGUUUCUCUGUCGAGGGGGAAGGGGAGUAAGGAGAAAAAAAAAAAAAAAAGGCAAGUAAGCAAGCAAGCCAGCAAGCACAGGAGCACACUCUCGUGGAGGCCCACACCCUCCCUGUGCCUACCCAAGAUGUGUCAGUCAGAGAAGCAUCCAGGACCGGAGCUCCAAGCAGCAGCAAAAUGGUUGUACUUUCCCCAGCUGGCCCUAUGGCGGAGGCUAGGCCAGCUGAGCUGCAUGUCCAGACCUGCUCUGAAUCUGCGCUCCUGGCUGCUGACCAUCCUCCACUACCUCCUGCCCUUCCGUGUGCUCGGGCCCCACAGCCAGGUGGGAUGGAGGCCCCUGAGCAGGGUGUUCCUGUAUAAAACUGUGCCAACGAGUUUGCUGUCAUGUGCCUGUGGUCGCCUCAACAAAGUAGAACUUCCUUACUGGCUCUGGAGGCCAGUCUACAGCCUGUAUAUCUGGACCUUUGGGGUGAACAUGACUGAGGCUGCAGUGGAGGACCUGCACCACUACCGCAACCUCAGCGAGUUUUUCCGGCGUAAGCUGAAGCCUCAGGCACAGCCUGUCUGAGAUUUGUACUGUGUGACCAGCCCAUCAGAUGGCAAGAUCCUCACCUUUGGGCAGGUGAAGAACUCUGAGGUGGAGCAGGUAAAGGGCGAAACCUACUCCUUGGAGUCCUUCCUGGGCCCUCGAACCAGUACAGAAGACCUGCCCUUCCCUCCAGCUUCUUCCAGUGACUCCUUCAGAAACCAGCUGGUCCCCCAAGAAGGGAAUGCGCUCUACCACUGUGUCGUCUACCUGGCCCCAGGAGACUACCACUGCUUCCACUCCCCCACUGACUGGACCGUCUCACAUCGGCGCCACUUCCCAGGUUCCCUGAUGUCAGUGAACCCUGGCAUGGCCCGAUGGAUCAAAGAGCUCUUUUGUCACAAUGAGCAUGUAGUCCUAACUGGAGACUGGAAAAAUGGGUUCUUCUCGUUGACAGCAGUGGGAGCCACCAAUGUGGGCUCUAUCCAUAUCCACUUUAACUGAGUGAGCAAAGCCCACAGGCUAAACCUCUUGGGUCCAACCACUUCAUUUACUGUACAGCCUUACCUUUGGGCUUAUAAAUUUUGUAGUGCAGGAGGGAUGAUCUAGCUCUGACCAGGCUGGACUCUACAGACAUCCAUACCAGCCCAGCCUCCCUCUCCCUGUUGCCCAAUCUGUGGCCAUUCACCUGCCUGAACCAAUCCCACAUCUUAACACACGGCUUCUGCCAGGAUCCCUGAUCAGAAGCAAGGAUGGAGCCUGCAGGAGGGUAGAGUUGGCUUGGGUGAGAAAAUCUGGUACCCACUCUGCCUUUUUAGGUUUUAAUGGCUGCUGCUGGCACUAGCCUUUCAGCAUUUAUGUCUAACCCCUGCCCCUCCUUGUCAAAGUCACAGCUGAUACUGGGAGUGUUGAUUAGUUAGGCCUUUGUCUCUGCCACCUGGGCUGGGCAGAGUUGAGGACAGGCUCAACCUUCUUGUUCCUAGGACUUGCACACAAACAGCCCCAGGUACAGCAAGGUACUACAAUGACCUGAGCUUUGUAACAAGGAGGGCAUUCCCAUGCACAAGGGUGAGCCCCUGGGCGAGUUCAACCUGAGCUCCACAUCAUGCUCAUCUUCGAGGCACCCAAGGACUUCAACUUGAGGCUGAAGGCAGAACAGAAGAUCUGCUUUGCAGGAGCACUGGGCUCCCUCUAGUCCUCUCGGUUGUGGCUGCCAAAGGAUCUUUCCACACAGGAGCAUGAGGGUCUUUAGCGGAGCCCCAGGAUGUCUAGGUGAGGGGCACUGUGGGGCUGACCUUAUAAGACCUGAAUGAUGUGUUCCUGCCUGUCCAUGGGUGCAGAGGAGAGGUUCUGGGUCUCUCAGGACCUAGGCCCCUUUUCUGAGUAUGGGUGGGUGUGAUUUGACCCCAAAGUCACUUUAAGGGGUGUUUUAAAUUUUUGUACAAGCCAGAGCCUCCCACCCCUAACUCCUGGCUGUGUACUACCACACCCUCUAGCUGCGCCCCGACCCGUCACAGGGCUCUCUCACUGUGCACAGGGUGACGUGCCUGCUGGGCAGAGACUGUGGAUCCACUGUCUUCCUAGAGCAGGCCACAUGGCCUUCAUAACUGCUUUCUGCUCCCAAAUUUCACCUAUCUGCAUGCUGGAAAAGUAAAAUCAUUUAUAUAUUGCUGGAUGUGUUGUCCUGGGCUCUGUCAGUGUCUUCUGAAGACAAUGACUAAUGAUGUAUGUAGACCUUUGUAGGCUCUAAGAAGCUGGCUGAAUCCUUUUGCUGGUAGGCAAGACCAAUUAAUUACUGGCUUGUCUGGUAGAGUCUGGAGUGAAAGGGCAGGUUGAGGCCUUGCCCUGCAGAAGUAGGGGACAUGCUGCUAUUGGUCUAGGUCUGUGUUGGAAGCAGAGGGUAUGGAGGUCAGUACCUAGAAAACAGGUAUGCAGGCCAUGGGGAACCCAGUGGUAGGGACAAGACCAGAGUUCAUGUCGAUCUUGGGAAUGCCAUGAAUUUCCCCUGCAGAAGAAAUCACUUAACUUUUCAACCCUAUCAGUAGUACCGUAUUUUGUAUGAAAAGUAGGAGACUUCUGAACAGUAAUUCAUUUCAUUGCAAGACAUUUUGAAAUUAAAAAACAAAACAAAACAAA